rnacentral:lncRNA from 1 species
CCAGCUCAAGCCGCGGGAACUGGGUGGGGGUGAGGGCAGGGUGUCCAUGGAGGUGCUCCCCUGGCGCGACCUUGCGCCUCGCGGUGCUCCCCACUGAGCCUGCGCAGCUGCGUAGUUGGUCCCCAGCCGCAGGCCCGCGUCCUUCGUGUUCUAUAGGGAUGGUCCUGCUGCCCCCGACCCCUGCAGUGUCCUCCGUUGCCGUGGGUACGCGCCGCCCUUUUCCUUAGCCCCUCCCUGCCUCAUUCACACGCCCAGACGCUCAGGGUCGCCAGGGUCUCAGACACAGGAAUCUGGGGAAAGAACUGUUCUGCACACUCCUCACCCCUGUCCAUUCUCUGGCCAGCAGGUCCUCUUUACAACCCCAUGGACCUUGUCCAGUAGGGCCUGGCAGGGAGGCGGUGCGCAUCUCACGUACCUACGCACUGGCCCGGCGGCCCUUCCUUGGGGGACAACGCGUCCAAGCUGGAAUCACUGUUGGCUGUAUGGAAGUUUCUCGGCUGCCCCCACUCUGAAUCCAGGUGGUUUGGACAAGUGCGGAUGCGUGACUCAGGGUGGAAUGUGAAGUGGCCAGGAGAGCUGCGCCUCAGGGGAUUUCUGUGGAAAGAGUACUGAGUGACUGGGUCCUACCCUGUGGGAGCAGGGCAGGGACUGUUCUCCCUCACCUCAAGACCGGGGAGGGCUUCAAGGAGUCUACCUGGCUGGAGGACACAGUGGGCUGGGCCUCCCUCAAGAAGGAUGGAGACUGCAGAGCAGGAGGAUUUAAGCCAUUGGUGAGUGAAUCCUGGAUUCACCAGGACCUGGGCUUGUGUGUGUGUGUGUGGGGGGGUUGUUGAGGGUGGAGGAUACUAUACGGUAAGUCUGUUUCAGGGUGGGCUCCCUUGGGGCCGCUGAGGCUGGUUUCUGGGCUGCCCCCUCUCUGUGGCUGCUUGAGAGCUUUGAGCACUUCCCACCUACCCCGACUCCCGACCUCAGGAGGGGCUUUUCCUGCUGUGAACUUGGCAAGGGCAGAUGAAGCAGAUGCAGUGCCCAUCCCUCCUACAUCUGGGAUGUGGGAUGGCACCCAUGU